AUUGCUUCUUGGCCUUUUGGCUAAGAUCAAGUGUGAGCCACCCUAGCACCACCAAGCUAUUUAAACUUAAGUUUGACUGUUGAUUUUGUUGUAUGACUUUGGAAAGUUCUUUAAUCCUUUAGGACCUCAGUUUUUUCAUCUAUGACAUGGAGAUCACAGUAUUUAUACUUAAUAGAGGUCUA
rfam:Canis lupus familiaris chromosome 25, whole genome shotgun sequence.